rnacentral:rRNA from 1 species
AAUACCGGAGAAUGUUAUCACGGGAGACACACGGCGGGUGCUAACGUCCGUCGUGAAGAGGGAAACAACCCAGACCGCCAGCUAAGGUCCCAAAGUCAUGGUUAAGUGGGAAACGAUGUGGGAAGGCCCAGACAGCCAGGAUGUUGGCUUAGAAGCAGCCAUCAUUUAAAGAAAGCGUAAUAGCUCACUGGUCGAGUCGGCCUGCGCGGAAGAUGUAACGGGGCUAAACCAUGCACCGAAGCUGCGGCAGCGACGCUUAUGCGUUGUUGGGUAGGGGAGCGUUCUGUAAGCCUGCGAAGGUGGCCUGUGAGGGUUGCUGGAGGUAUCAGAAGUGCGAAUGCUGACAUAAGUAACGAUAAAGCGGGUGAAAAGCCCGCUCGCCGGAAGACCAAGGGUUCCUGUCCAACGUUAAUCGGGGCAGGGUGAGUCGACCCCUAAGGCGAGGCCGAAAGGCGUAGUCGAUGGGAAACGGGUUAAUAUUCCCGUACUUG